rnacentral:rRNA from 1 species
UACGAAGGGGGCUAGCGUUGCUCGGAAUACUGGGCGUAAAGCGCACGUAGGCGGCUUUCUAAGUCGGGGGUGAAAUCCUGGAGCUCAACUCCAGAACUGCCUUCGAUACUGGAGAGCUCGAGUCCGGGAGAGGUGAGUGGAACUGCGAGUGUAGAGGUGAAAUUCGUAGAUAUUCGCAAGAACACCAGUGGCGAAGGCGGCUCACUGGCCCGAUACUGACGCUGAGGUGCGAAAGCGUGGGGAGCAAACAGG